rnacentral:lncRNA from 10 species
UUAAUAAGGGUCUGAAUGAGAAUGAAGUGUUAAAACUGCUGCUUCUGGCUGGGUGUGGUGGCUCAGGCCUGUAAUUCUAGCACUUUGGAGGCUGAGGCAGGAGAAUUACUUGAGCCAGGAGUUUGAGACCACCCUGGGGAACAUAAUACAGACCCAUCUCUACAAAUAAUAAUAAAAACUAGCUGGGUGUGGUGGUGCGCAUCUGUGGUCCAGUCCAGGCUCUUCAGGAAGCUGAGGUGGGAGGAUCACUUGAGCCUGCACUGAGCUUUGAUGGCACCACUGCAUUCCUGCCUGGGUAACACUGAGACCCUGUCUCAAAAAAAAAAAAAAAAAAGUGCUUCUAAAAAUACAGAAAAGGGAUAAAAGUUUUAUCUUUCACAGCUGGGCAUGGUGGCUCACACCUGUAACCCCAGCACUUUGGGAGGCUGAGGCAGGCGGAUUACUUGAGGUCAGGAGUUUGAGACCAGCCUGGCCAACAUGGCGAAAACCUGUCUCUACUAAAAAUACAAAAAAAUUAGCUGGGCGUAGUAGCAUGCGCCUGUAAUCCCAGCUACUUGGGAGGCUGAGGCACAUGAAUCACUUGAACCCAGGAGGUGGAAGUUGCAGUAAGACAAGAUCAUGCCACUGCACUCCAGCCUGGGCAAUAGAGCAAAACUCUGUCUCAAAAAAUAGGAAUAAAAAUCAGCUGGGCGUGAUGGUGCACACCUGUAAUCACAGCUAGUUAGGAGGCUGAGGCACAAGAAUAGCUUGAACCUGAGAGGCAGAAGCUGUGAGCCGAGAUCAUACCACUGCACUCCAGCCUGUGCAACAGAGUGAGCAAGACUGUCUCAAAAAAAAAAAAAAGUUUUAUCUGUAAUAAUUCCGAGAAGGGGGAAGGUAAAAAUUUACCCCUAAGGAAAAGUUUAUGGCCAUCUGGACUGCCUUCAUGUUUUCCCUGCAAUCUGCCAGUGUUUUUAAUGACAUGAUACACUUAGAUACAUAAUCUCAUCUCUUCCUUCCAGUUCUGCCUCUUCCCUCUGGUUGCUGUGAC